UGCUCAACCUCCAAGCCUCGCAGAGCUGCUCAGCAGGGUCCAGAAACAAGCCAGACUGAGCCAGGCUCUGCCAGCACCCCACUAUGAGCAGUGAGGGCUAUGCAGUCACAGUCCGUCACCCGGUGAUGUCAUAGCCUGUUGCUCGGGGACAUCGCCAUGGGCUGUCCACCUCCACAGCACCCAUCCCUGAAUUUUAAGUUUAUAUUCACAGUUUCAAUAACUACUGAAGUUUUAGGCAUGGAGAGCAAUAGACUUGUGAUACAAAGAAGGAUUCUUUGAUCUUAAAAAUAUGAUCAUGUACAGAAAAUGUUACAGUGUUCAGGAGCCUGCUUACGGGUUUUGGAAACUUCAGUGGAUCACAUACAGAAAGUCAAAAUAUUAAAACAUGGUUCUCAGAUAUCAAUGUGCAUCGGUCAGUACAGUCUUUAGAAACACUCAGAGGAAUAUCAGUAGUGAAUCUGUGUAGAAAAAUAAGGUCUAUUGUUAAAUGUUAGGGAAAAAAAACCAACCAAAACCUGAAUGAUCUGAACCUACUGGUGCAGAGAGGGAUUGAGGAAGACACUGUACAGAAACAAUCCCUUUUGCCAUUUCACCACCUAUAUAUUUUCCGAGCAAGCAUUAGUUUCUCUGUAUUGUGAGAACUCCAUCGGCACAGCCUGCAUGACAUUGAAUACAGCUCCAGGUUUUUUUUUGUUUUGUUUUUGUUUUUUUGGUUUUUUUUGCUAUAUUUUUCAGCUUUAUUUCAAGGAUUUAAGUUGAACAGUACUCUUUGCCACCAUUUUGGUUUUAUUUUUUCUUUUAUGGAUUACUCACUGUUUCCUAGGCUGUGAACCUUUAACCUCAUCAGUUUCUUCCAGUUACUAUACCAGCUAGAACAAAACAGUUUAUUUUUGUUUCAAGCACUGUGCAAUUAUCAUCUGCAAGCAUGCAUGUGAACACAAGCAAGCCACACAAAGGAAUAAAUAAGCCAUUUAUUAUAUACAGUAACAGUCUGAUUUAUCAAAAGCACGUGCACUGGCUAUGUUACAGAUAUAUGAAGCAGAAAGCUUGAGCAGAACUUCCUUGAGAAUCACAGAAUCACGGAACUGUAGGGGCUGGAAGGGACCUCUAGAGAUCAUUGAGUCCAAUCCCACUGCAAAGCAGGCUCCCUGCAGAAGGCUGCACAGUCUUCUUUUCUCAAGGCUGAACAGACCCAGUUCUCCCAGCCUUUCCUCAUACGGGAGAUGCUCGAGGCCCUUCAUCAUCUUUGUGGCCCCUUGCUAGACUCUCUCCAGGAGAUCCCUGUCUUUUUUGUACUGGGGAGCCCAGAACUGGAUACAGUACUCCAGGGCUACUGAAGAGCUUCUGGUAGCAGAGAACUGGCGUCACAACUGUCCUUAUAUCCUGGCAGUAUCAAGUUUGUUACAUGACUAGCACAUUCGUUCAGUCAUGUAAGACAAUAAGGAACUUAAUUCAUUUUAUAUGGGCUAGACUUCUUUCCCAUCUGAAUCUUGCUGAUACUCAAGGCAAAAUAUCACCAGCAAAUCAAAGGAGAUGAUCUUUACCAUCUACUCAGUGUUGAUGAGGCUGCACCUACAGUCCUGGUCCAGUACUGGGCUCCUCAAAGCAAGAGGGACAUUGGCUUUCUGGAACAAGUCCAGUGUAGACCCAUCAAGAUGCUUCAAGGCCUGGGGAACCUCUCCUUUGAGGAGUGGCUGAGAGAGCUGAGAGUUGGAACUGCUCCAUCUGGAGAAGAGGAGGUUCAAGGGGAUCUCAUCCAUGUCCAUAAAUACUUGAAGAGAGAGUGUAAAGAAGAUGGAGUCAGGCCCUUGUCAGUGAUGCCCAGUGUCUGGACAAAUGUGGUGGACACAAACACACAAACCCUAGAGGUUCCCUCUGCACAUCAGCAAGCACUUCUGUGCUGUGUGGAUGAUAGCCAGGGCACAGGUUGCUCAGAAAGGUGGUGGAGUCUUCUCCUUAGAGACCUGGUACCUGAAUGUAGUGUUAGAUCACAUGACCCCCAGAGGUCCCUUCUGACCUCAACCAUUCUGUGAUUAUGUUUCUGUGUUAUGUGGCUCAUGACUUAAUUUCCUGAUGUGUUAUGGGGCAGUGGGAGAUGUAUUAAAAAAGUAGCAAAACCAUGGCUAGGCACUAUAAAUUUUCAGACUGUUUCUGGAAUUUCUUGAUGUCCUGGACAAACUAGCAUCUAAAAAAUAAUUCCCAAGAUCAGUGAAAAAAAUUUCACAAGCUAGAGUGGACACUUGCAGAGCCUGCACUUGGCCAGUGCUAAGUAACACAUACACAGGCUGUUUCAUGUCCAGGAAAUCUUAACUGACUGAGAAAGAUAUAGCCAUAAUACUUCUUUCCUUUCUCUAUCUGGUUAUAAACACUAAAAUUUUAGACACUCAAUACCUCUGAGACUAUCUUCAUGUCAAAUGCAGUUGAAAUCCACAGUGUUUUUAAGAAAAUGCAAUUGGUUGAAGAGAUCCGCUUUUUUUUUUUUUUUUUUUUUGCAAGCACAGUAUAAACUGCAUUGUUGUAUUAGAAAUUAAACAUCGUAAAAUAUAACCCUGCCAAUUUCAGCUGACACACAGAAGUUAUUUGGUGUUUCUAUUUAUUUUCUAAGAAAACAAAACUGAUUUAGAAUAACAUAGUGUCAGGAAAAACAAACCGGUCUUACAGGGUUUGUAUAGAUGUUUACUGGAGCACAUUUUUAAGCAAUUAAGAUAUAAUAAAUGAAAAAAAAAAAGAGAGGAAAAAAAAAACAACCUUGAAAGUAUUUCUAAGAGCCUUUUUCCUGUGCCAAAUUUAUUUUACACAUUGCACUCUUCAAGUUUUUACUAGAGAUACACUCAACUGAACAAAAUCUGUCUUAAAAAUGUCUCUGUAAAGGGAUUCAUCCAGAAAGAAUCAGAAUUCCAACUUUAUAUAAUUGGUUUAAUAAGAUUUUGAACUUUAGGCUGCCACUGGCUUUUUCUCCAGCUUACAAUGUUAACGACUUUAUUAUGAUGGAUGAUGAACACACAUCUCUCUGAUAGUAUGUAUUAUUUGCUUAUGGCAAUCUUCAGGAAUAGCUCAUACUAACAUACAUACUUACUAGUCAAAAAUGAUGUUAUCAGAGGUCCCACUCAAUACGAAAAAUAAAUAAGCAAACAAAUGAACAACAAAUAUUCUAAAUAUAAGCCAAACAUUUUGUCUAUCAGGCUAGUUAUUAACUAGUGUGAUAACUUCACACAAACAAAAGAGGUGAGUUACAGACAUUAAUCAUAUCUUAUGAUUAAUAUACAAAUAUGACUGUACUAAGAUUAUCUCUGAUAACAGAAAUAAGUAAUAUUCAUUACUAACAUUUUGAGUUCACAAUUCAGUAUAAUCUUCCAUCCUUGUUAAACAAUAGAUUGUCAAAAUAAUGUAUCUUGUAAACUAGUGUUGUUGGCAUUGGUUCAUUGUUCAUGUAGACAUCAGUUACAGUAUACCAAAUUCUAGCCAUAGCCCAAUAUACUAAACAUAGCCAACUGCGUUUCUUUUCCUGAAUUGUUCAGUUUCUCUGCACAGUGCUUCCAACAGAUUGCUAUAAUUUAAUAUUCAUAAUUUUCAUUGAGUUUUAAUGUUAAAAUCUUAAACAGCAGUAUUAAAGAAGCUCAU
ensembl:lncRNA